AUUGAACGCUGGCGGCAGGCCUAACACAUGCAAGUCGAGCGGCAGCGGGAAAGUAGCUUGCUACUUUUGCCGGCGAGCGGCGGACGGGUGAGUAAUGCCUGGGAAAUUGCCCAGUCGAGGGGGAUAACAGUUGGAAACGACUGCUAAUACCGCAUACGCCCUACGGGGGAAAGCAGGGGACCUUCGGGCCUUGCGCGAUUGGAUAUGCCCAGGUGGGAUUAGCGAGUUGGUGAGGUAAUGGCUCACCAAGGCGACGAUCCCUAGCUGGUCUGAGAGGAUGAUCAGCCACACUGGAACUGAGACACGGUCCAGGCUCCUACGGGAGGCAGCAGUGGGGAAUAUUGCACAAUGGGGGAAACCCUGAUGCAGCCAUGCCGCGUGUGUGAAGAAGGCCUUCGGGUUGUAAAGCACUUUCAGCGAGGAGGAAAGGUUGAUGCCUAAUACGUAUCAACUGUGACGUUACUCGCAGAAGAAGCACCGGCUAACUCCGUGCCAGCAGCCGCCGUAA
rnacentral:rRNA from 1 species